UACGUAGGGUGCGAGCGUUGUCCGGAAUUACUGGGCGUAAAGAGCUCGUAGGUGGUUUGUCGCGUUGUUCGUGAAAACUCACAGCUCAACUGUGGGCGUGCGGGCGAUACGGGCAGACUGGAGUACUGCAGGGGAGACUGGAAUUCCUGGUGUAGCGGUGGAAUGCGCAGAUAUCAGGAGGAACACCUAUAGCGAAGGCAGCUUGCUGGGACGUUACUGACGCUAAGGCGCGAAAGCGUGGGGAGCGAACAGG
rnacentral:rRNA from 1 species